rnacentral:tRNA from 1 species
AAAGAAUUAGUUAAAUAAUAACAUAAAUAUGUCAAAUUUAAAUUAUUUCUAUAAUGUAAUAUUCUUUU